CAAGGCACAGAUGCCAAGCUAGAAAAGAUAUGUGAUCUGCUAUUUCUGGUUCCUAAGCAGAUUCUGUGACCAGUUGGGUUAGCAACAGAGGUGCCUCUGGCUACACCAUUGGUUACCCCAUAGGAUCUCCAUUAUUGCUCUGGCUUUUUACACCUGGUUUUUAAAUCUGGGAAUGAACUAUAUAUUAAAUCACAAAGGGAAAAAGCUAUGUUGGGAAUUGACCAUACACAAUCUAUACAGAAACUUGAGCAGAAUUAAAAUAACCAAGGAAAAGAAAUAAAGAAUGACGAGGAAAUAUCACAACUCACAUCUUGUGACAAUCCUUGCCAAGGGACUUACACCAGCUGAGAACCACAUAUGGAGGCUUAGAUUUACAAAGCUUUCAUUUCGUGCCAUAGGAGCUGAGAAGAAAUACCUUUCCAUAUGCUUGAAUGUGGUAUGUUUGUAGUGUUCUCUUUUGCUUACUCGAGGCAUUCUGUUCUCACAUCUACAGUUAUGUUAAAAGAAAUCUACUUGGUUUCAAUGAAUUUGUCCCCAUUCCCCUCUUGUUUUACUUGUUUUAUAAUUGAAGAAAAUGAAUUUUUCAAUUUUAUGUAUACUGUAUAUUCUCAUGCAUAUGUCGACCUCAAAGGCAGAUUUGGGGUGUGUCUGUAAAAUUAUUGAUUUUGAUGUGACCUGUGGAUAAGUCUAGAGUAAUUAUUAACUGACAGAAUUGCAUGUCUAAGCAUCCAGAAAGGCCAGAAGUGGCCAGUGCUCUCUUUUCAUGCACUUUCUCCCAGGACAGAUUAAACUUUUGCCUUUCACCACUCUAGUCAGAGAAGGAAAUUUUGAUAAGAGUUAAAGUACACUACUUUCAUUGACCUAUGGAUAAAUCAACUCAGGUUUGGAGGGUCAGUUUUUUAAAGCUAAGAUUUCUUGAGUACAGUAUAUAGCGUAAGAUAUACACUAGGUCCUAGAGAUAAAGGCACCACAAAAUCACUCAAUUGGGGAAGGAGGUUCCAAUUCUUCAAUUUCUUCCACCUUCCCAUCAUCUCCAUCUUUUCCAUAGAGUGGUACUAAAUAUUGUUCUUAAAACUUGCAGUGCUGUUUUAUAUGUCUUUAAUAAAGUCCUAAGUAAGAUGUAUUACAGAGCUAUAUUUAGAUCUGAUGUAGUUGAACUCCUUUUCUAUACUAUUUGCCUAAUUUUAGCACUAUUUUUGUUUUGGCUAAUAUGCCUGUAUGCUUUACCAGCCAAGAAGGAUAUAUUCAUUGGGGAAAUUGUGUAAGAAGACAUUAUUCACUUAUGCCAUGAUCUUUCAUCAGUGAUGUCUGCAAGGGAGACAGCCAUACUUUCACAUAUUUUACCGUAAAUAUUUGGCCUUAAACUAGUAUGAUAUCCCUUGAGGUUGUUCAGCAAGACGGAGAAAUGAUUUAGAUCAGAAAAAUGUUCUGCUCAAAGGUAAAUGUUCCCUUUUUCAGAGCCCAGUUCCAACUUUCACAUCUGUUUUUAAAUGUAAGAAAGUUCUGUUUCUCAACCAGUUUUGCCCCAUUAAUUUAAAAAAGAAUACUAAACAUUUAAUGUGUUGAAAUUGCAGUACCCUGUGGUUUAAAACAUUAGAAAUAGGUAACACAAAGGGAUCUUGAAGAAAUUUUGAGAUUAGUUGAAAAAGAAGUUGAUAGCAUACAAUUUUUGUAGACUAUAGUCUUGUUAUCUGACAAAGUACACUUAAGUCUACAAAAGCUUAUGCCACCAAGCUCUGCCUAUUGACCCAAACUAAGAUAGCUAUGUAGGGAGUUAAUGUACUAUUUUGAUUGUCUGGCAUUGAUUGAAAUUUAUUUGUGUAUAUGUAGAUGUUCUGCUUUGAAAAUGUGUGCUUAAAAUGUUUAAUAAUUUUCUUUCAUUUCCAGAUAUUUCUCCCUCGGAAGAUUCAGUUCCUUUGAAACACUUGUGCGAUGCUCUCUUCAUUCUGUUUUCAUUUUGAGCAGACAGAAGAUUAAUUGAGACUAUCUCUGCCAAAUUAGAAUAUUUUAAGGGUAUAGAACUAACUUUAGCAUAGGAUCUCAUAUUAUGUGAUUCAUAUUUCCUGCAAUUUCUCAGCAUUUUGGAGCUUUUGUGAAAGUCCUUAGCACAACACAUGAAGCUGUGAUUAACAGAAUAAAAGUAAACUUAUUGGGAAUCUUUUGCUACUUUCUAUGGAAUCUUUCAUUGGAAAAACAUGUCUCCAACUACAGUAUUUCCUGCAGAUUAGAGAAAAUAUAUUAAUCACUAAUAGCAACAUACCUCUAUACCAGUGGUUCUCAACCUGGGGUCCCCACAUGUUUUGGCCUUCAACUCCCAGAAAUCCUAAUAGCUAGUAAACUGGCUGGGAUUUCAGGGAGUUGUAAGCCAAAAACAUCUGGGGAUGCCAGGUUGAGAACCACUGCUCUGUACAGUACCAUGAUUAUAUACUAGCCCACUGAAUUGCUGUUUUAAUACUUUGUCCACAUUUUAUGGAAAUUCUUUACAGAAACCAAAGAAGAACAUAUCUGACUCACUGUUAUGUUUCUGAGUUUCAGCUGUGGGGUUUCAUCAUUAACUGGAACGAUGACAAUGUAGAAAGGCAUUGCUAUGGAUUUAUGAAGGCCAUCGCUUACUGAUACCAUGAAACCAUCAGAGAUGGGUUCCAAAUUCUCAUGCUUAGACUGAACAUAGUUGAUAUAACCAUCCUGUAAGUUCUGAAAUGUGAAGACACCUUUUGGAGAAAGUGUUAAAAACACACAAUGAAUUUUUUCCACGCUUUUUGUACACUUAAUUCUGAGGGCAUGUUUAAUAGAUGUGAUGACUAAUUUCUUAACUGAUUCCUUCCAAAGUAUGCCUGGCCAUAAAUAUAUACAUGUGGGAGACUCAUAAUUUAUAUUUUUCAAUGGUAUUAUACUUGUACUUGUCUCCUUUAUAUACACAUCUAAAAAUAUCAUGCUAAGUGUCUUAACGUAAUUCUCUUUCCAGUUCCAUUUCUGCUUCCCCCCAGGACUCUAACUCAUUGCUUCAAUAUUUAAGAUUCUGUUCAAAGCAUUGAUGGUAGUUUUUAAUACCAGACAGCUCUUUUAAAAUCACUUGUAUCUGUUUCAUUUAAAAGAUGAAACAGACUUUUUGUACUAUAGAUAGGUAGAUUAUGUUCAGUAUUUGGAAAAGACUAAAAACUGCAAGCCCCCUUUUUAUAUACUAGAGCCAUGAGAAUUCAUUGUUGCUUCCUGCUAAAGGAUUGUUUUCAUGACAGAGAAGUAAUGAAGUUGUAUCUGUUAUUAAUUUUUCAAUGGAGAGAGCAGAGUGGAAAAAAUAUUUCCAGACACUCUACUUAUCUUGGAAGAUAUCUAUAGAGAUGGUAAAAGUCUCAAAUAACAUCUGCUCCUAUGUCCCAUCCUUCAAAAAGGUAGAAGACAUACUUCACUGCCUUGCAUUUGUGUGUGUAGUUUAAAGCUUGCUUGUAGAGCAACAGUGUUGCAACUCACUUAUAUUCAAGCCCACAUUGGUCUUCUCAUAUCCAGGAGUAGGAAGAAUAUUCUCCAGGUAACCGUGCACUGGAUUUGUCUCUAAGAAGAAAGUUAACUCCUCAGGUUUUGAAUCUUCAUCUUUCACAUCCAGAUAUUUUAAACUGAUAGGUGUCGAAGCGCCUUCUUCCACUAUAAGUAUCUCUCCUUGAGGUAAAGCAGAAGAAUAUUAUUUUCACUAUUACAGAUUGAAGGCUGUACUUUGAUUAUUUUGCAACUAAGAAGACACUAAACCUUCACAACCUGCCUGUCUGCCUAGCAUCUCAACCUAAUCAGCUAUUGAUUUGAGCAGUAGCUGCUGAGAAAAGCACUAGUGAAAUUUUGUUUCAACUCAGGAUAUCUUAGUCAGCACUAUUGGGAUGGUGCAUAUCUCUGUUUACAGUUACAGUAGAGUCUCACUUAUCGAAGCUCCGCUUAUCCAAGGUUCUGUAUUAUCCAACGCAGUUUGCCUUUUAGUAGUCAAUGUUUUUGUAGUUAAUUUUUCAAUAAAUUGUGAAAUUUUGCUGCUAAAUUCAUAAAUACGGUAAUUGUUACAUAACGUUAUCAUGUACUGAACUGCUUUUGCUAUCGAUUUGUUGUAAAGCAUGAUGUUUUGGUGCUUAAUUUGUAAAAUCAUAACAUAAUUUGAUGUUUAAUAGGCUUUUCCUUAAUUCCUCCUUAUUAUCCAACAUUUUCGCUUAUCCAAUGUUCUGCUGGCCCAUUUAUGUUGGAUCAGUAAGACUCUACUGUACUAGCAUAAAUGAAGUAGUCUUUCUUAAAGUGCCUGAAGGGUUUGUAAAACUGUAACAUAUCAGUUCAGUUUAGAGCCAAUAACUGCAGAAUUCAAUUCACUUUUCCCUAAUCUUGCCUACCAUUCCCAGUGUUUGUAUGAUGCUCAUAUCUAUGGAUUCAAAAUGCAUGCAAUCACUGAGCGAACUAAACUGCUUAGAAAUCUCUCUCUGCAAAAUGUUGUUGCACCACAAGGCUGCAGGGAUGGGAUGAUGUUUCUGUUUUUCCUGAAGUGACCACAGAAACCUAAACAGGCAUAACAGAACCUGGCAGCAUUCCAUCCCAAUUUUCCACACAAAGAGCUCACAAUGUCUUCUUUCCAUAGGGAAUGCACCAGUGUGCAUUGUAGUAAAAUAGGCAUAAAAAAGCUGUGGACCAAUGUCUCGCUCUGACACACAAACACACACACAACAUACAUUAGCCACAGAAAAUAUGAGCUUGAAAGACAUGAGUGGUCUUGCUGCAAAAGGUCACAAUCAAGGCUUGCUAAGAAAAGUAUUUCCAGUUAAGAAAAUAGUUAUAACAGUAUGAUUCCAUUUUAACUGUCAUCGCUUCAGCCUAUCAUAUCUUGUUGUUUGUAGUCUGACAAUGCAUUUGAGUUCUCUGGCUGUAAAUCCUAAGUUCCCCUCCCUUAAAUGCUAAUCUCACAGAUGGAACCACAACAAUUAAAAUGUAUGAUCACACUAUAAUGAUGUAGUGAGAAAGGGCCUAUGAACUAUCGUGACUUCCAUAUCGGUGAAGUAGUGAUUUUGGUCCAGACUCAUAAAACCUGUAUAAAGUACCUAAUACUCUUGAAAUACAUUCAGCACCUUGGAUAGUUUUUAAGGUUAUCGCAAAAAUCCAGAGCAAAUCAGUCCAGAUAUGGAAAAACCAAGCCACCAUGGUAUGUAUUAGAAAUGGGAGGAGAUCUCAUUUAUUAGCAGCAAAAUAAUCUAUUUCCUGCCAAGUGGGAAUGCCUGGUGAGAAUAAUGCUGCAGUGGAUAAUAUUUUUGUUUGUUUUUUGCCUUUUGUGAAGCUACUUAGGGAAUUUUUGUGCAUUAUAAAUCUUCACAAUACUUUUUACCAUAGGAAAUGUGCAUCCUGGACAAAAAAACAUAAUAUUUUGUGCAGGAAUCGGGGGAGAGUGGGCAAAAGGAUAGGGCAGGGGUCCCCAAACUAAGGCCCGUCUGCCGGAUGCGGCCCUCCAAGGUCAUUUACCUGGCCCCCACCCUCAGUUUUAGACUUAGGCUCACCCAAAGUCUGAAAUGACUUGAAGGCACACAACAACAACAAUCCUAAUUUACUUGACUACCUCAUUGGCCAGAAGCAGGCCCACACUUCCCAUUGAAAUCCUGAUAGGUUUAUGUUGGUUAAAAUUGUUUUUAUUUUUAAAUAUUGUAUUGUUCUUUCAUUGUUGUUGUUUUUUGCACUACAAAUAAGACGUAAAGUGCAUAGGAAUUUGUAAUUUUUUUCAAACAAUAUUCCAGUCUCCAACUGUCUGAGGGACUGUGGACCGGCUCUCAGCUUAAAAAGUUUGAGGACCCCUGGGAUAGGGUGUGAGAGUUGGCGUGUGUGUGGAGUUAAAAGCAUAUGUAUUUCUGUACAGCAUAAUUCCCUUAGAGACUUCAAAAAGUGUGAAUACCUGUUGAGAAUGGUGCAGAAGUCUACAUUUUGUUUCUGCCACAAUGGGGAAAAAACUACAGAGACUAUUAAUUAUUCCAUGUGAAGACAAAGUAUGUGAACAUUUGCAUUUCUGGUAUAUAUCUUAAAACUUGCUUAAGGCACCUUUCCAUUUCUAGCCUUUCUUAACCACAUCAAUGCACUCACCUUAAAUUGGGUUGCUGAUUCAAAGCAACUUUACAUUUCAAAAUUUUGUAUGAGGUUAUGUAACCACUGUGGUGGUAGUGGACAUUUUGAGACAUGCUGAGUACCAGUAAAUCGUCCUGCUCUAGGCAGUGAAACAAUACUCCCUUCUCUCUGGAGACAAGCAAGAGAGCAAGGUUCCUAUGUUGAACAGGGAGGAUUGUGUUUAAUUUCACUAUAAAAUGAGUGAGUUGCAUUUAAUUAGAAAAGAAAGAGCAUCUUUGUUUCAUUACUAAGAGCAAGCAAAUAACCUUAAAAAAAAAGAAUGAAAAACAACAAGGCAGUGAAAGAAAAGCUACAGAAAACCUUGAUGCUGAUUUUUUUUUUCUGUUAAGAGAGUGCCUGCACAGAUGGAACGGAGCUGUGUCACCAGUGACCUUGCUUAUUCUUCCGCACCAGUUGCAUUUUUCCAAGUUCUCUUCUUCUAUUGGAGCUAUGGACCUCCCACUCCCAGUUGUAUUGCCCCUUGUCUAUGUGGAAUGUAGAAAGAAAAUACAGAGGCUUUGCUACAUUUUAACCUAGAUAGGCAAGCAUGUGUAUGGACAUGAGUGUGUAAUGAAGCCUGGAUUUGGGAUCUAGCAAAAGGACAACAUGAGAUACAAUGGAGAAAACCCAUUGCCUCAGACUCUUGAAUACUGGAUUAUUAGAGAUAGUAUUGAUUUUGCUAAAUGUAUAAUGUUAUAUCUGUGGAAAAACAGCUGAAAAGCAUGGAUAAGUAUUUGCAUUCAGAAUACAAGUCACAGACAUCUUCCUCUGGGGCCACUUUUUGUAAAGAUCUAAAAAUGUGGUUGUUCUACUGUGCUUUUGAUUAGUCAGUUCCCCAGAUAAUCUUGGCCCCAGCUUUGACCCAAGAUCUAUUCCCUGCACUUUACUAUUGUCUCCUGCCCAUAGAUAGAAUAUUCUACUGCAUAGUGCCCUUGUACUCCUAAUUCUGUCAUCUGACGUUUGCACUUUAUCCAUCAGCCCUGUCCUUACAACCGGUUGUACCACUCUGCCCACCCAAGCCCAGUAAAUGUUUACUAUAUCAGGCUACUGGCUGUUUGCUCGAUAGUUGUUUUAUAUUGUGUUAUUAUGCUGUUUGUUUUAGAUAGUUUUAUUAUGUUGGUUUACGAACUUUAUUGUGCUAUUUUAAACUAUGUUGAUCGGGCUUGUUCCCAUAUAAGCCACCCUGAGUCACUUUGGGGAGAUGGAGGCGGGAUACAAAAAUAAGGUUAUUAUAUUAUCAUUUGGUGAAAUCAGUAUCACUGGAGAAAUAGAUAUCCCAAGCCAUUUUUCUAACUGAAACAAAUAAUGUGAUAGAGUUCCCCCUCUUAUUCCACUAUAGCAUUUAAUUUUUAUUUCAAUGAUGAUUGCCUUUGUUACACCUGAUGACAGAUGGCUAAAUAGUUGGAUAUAAGGUAGUAUUUAUUUGCCCUCUAGGCUCUGCCAUGUGAAGGAAACACCUCAUUCUUUCAAAUGGUACAGCCAGAUUUGGACUUACCACGGUAGAAAUUGCUUUUUCCUUUCAAAAGCUGCAUGUCUAACAACUCCCACCCCCCACAAUUCGCUUCAAUUUGUUGGGAAACAAGCAAAAAUUUAGGUCUUGAACAGAUAUGGUAACACUGAGGUUUCUACAUUGUGAUAUGUGAGGAAUUAGAUCUUUGAGAUUUCCGAUACAAAGUGAGCUGAUCUGUAUCAUACAAAGGUAUAAAUGAAUAUAUCACUAUCAGAUUUUGCACUUCUCUGAAGAUUUUAACAGAAUUUUGUGUCAAAAAUAGGGGAAAACAUUUGAAGCAUAUUUUGAAGGAGAAGUUCAAAAUUAAAAUGUGUUCAUGCAUUUUUUGUUUUUAAAAUGCAUAUUAAAUGUAUUAAAUGUAGAAACAUGGAAAACCCAUUUUGUCAGGCAGUAACACAUUGUCAUCAUGGAGAAGAAAACAUGGGAAUAUUCUUUCCAUCAGUGAUGUUUGUACCCAUUAUUGUUUUAUUUUGUUUUCUAAAGUCUGUCACAGGUUUGGGAGGGCAGUUGUUAGAAUAUUAUUCUGACCCCAAGUCUCCUAUGGUAAAUGGCUACCAUUUUUGUCCACUUCCACAACUGCAUACAAAAUUCUCUGAAUGCCUUUUGUAUCACUUCAAGCUGUAUAGACACCUCUUUGAGACAGAUUUUAACAACUCUGCCAUACCCUGUGAGGAAUGUUCAUUUUUUUUAAUCAAAUGAUACAAUUCUGGUUUCAUCCUUAAGACAUAGAACAUUAGCAACAACUACAUACCAGUUUGAAUGGAUGGCUCCUGAUUGUUAAUGGGCAGAAUUGUGACAUUCAGAUCAUGCACUGGUAAACUGGGAUGAAGUGGUAUAGGCAGUGGGAAUUUUUUAUCAAUACAACAGCCAUCUCCUAUUCCAGUUUCUCCAUCUGAGAUAACAAAAGUUAUGCUGUCCACAAUAUAUUCAUGACCUAUUUCUCCACCUAAAGAACCAGUGCACACAAACAUACAUGAGCUAUUAAGAUCCUAACAGGCUUCAAAAUAAGAGAGAUUGUCCUAUCCAUAAGAGGAGAAGGCAUGGUGGAAAAUAUUAGUACAUGCAAAUUAGAAACAUUUUCUCAAGCAGUCCCACCAAGUGAUUGUAAAAAACAAAAUUAGUGAUCAUCUUUUAUGGCAAAGUGCUGAUAGUAAAAUUGGAUUUCAGAUAAAGAGUAAAUCUUCCAUUCACCUACUUCUAAAGUCAGCUAGUGGUCUGCAAGACACUUUUGUUUAUUAAAAUGCAAAUAACAACUCUAGGAAAUGAAAGUAUCACUCAACUUCUCACAGUCUCAGAAAAUGUAAAAACACAUCAAGGAAACUCAAAAUGGUGGCUUUCAAAAUAAAUAUGCAUGAUUUAAGAAUAGCUUGCAAGGAAAAAAUAACAUUUUCACUUGGCUGAUAUCUGUAUAAAAUUGACAGUACUUAAAUUCCUAAGAUAAUUUUUAGCAAAAUGAAGGGGAGAAAUAGAUCAGAAGUUCUCCUUUACUUGUUGCCUUGAGAGGAGUGUGAUGGAGAGGCUGGUAACAAACCUAGGUAGAGUUGAAUUGGAAAGGAAGAUUGACAGAAACUCAAAUCCUUUCUCUCUGUCUCACCACCUUUUCAGGCUUGUUUGCUGUGAACAAGGGAGAAGGCCUUCCCAGUGGCUGCUCCCAGUCUUUGGGAUUCCCUCCUUAGGAAGAAAGAAUUGGUUAGAGGAAGUCAAGACAUUUCACCAUGUUUGGAUACAGUCCCUAUCCAAGUACUAAUCAGCACUAUGGCUGCUUAACUUCCAAGAUCAGGUGGAGUCUGGUGACUUCAGGCUGGUUGCAAUUUCACAUCUAUAGUGCCAACUUCUGAAGUAAUCCCUUAGUAUAAAGAAGUAAUAGCUGAAUGGGUCCAUCAAACUAUGCUUCUGUGAUUUGAGAGGUUUACUUCCAGUUCCCCUUUUAUCCUCUGCUUCUUGUAUGUUGAUAGAAGCGCCACUCAUGCCCCUAUCUGUACUGCUGCUGCUGCUCAGUCGUUUAGUCAUCUCCGACUCUUCGUGACCUCAUGGACCAGUCCAUGCCAGAGCUUCCUGCCGGCCGUCACUGCCCCCAGUUCCUUCAAGGUCAAGCCAGUCACUUCAAGGAUACCAUCCAUCCAUCUUGCCCUUGGUCGGCCUCUCUUCCUUUUUCCUUCCAUUUUCCCCAGCAUCGUGAUCUUUUCCAAGCUUUCCUGUCUCCUCAUGAUGUGGCCAAAAUACUUCAGCUUUGCCUCUAAUAUCCUUCCCUCCAGUGAGCAGCCGGGCAUUAUUUCCUGGAGGAUGGACUGGUUGGAUCUUCUUGCAGUCCAAGGCACUCUCAGGAUUUUCCUCCAGCACCAGAGUUCAAAAGCGUCUAUCUUCCUUCGCUCAGCCUUCCUUAUGGUCCAGCUCUCGCAUCCAUAGGUUACUAUGGGGAACACCAUUGCUUUGACUAUGCGGACCUUCGUUGCCAGUGUGGUGUCUCUGCUCUUCACUAUUUUGUCAAUACAUAUGAAUUUUGCAGAAACCAGGCCUUCCUCAAGUAUAUCCAAGCCCUGAAAAGACUGGACAAAAUUCUAGUGACACAAUGUCUUCAGGCAUACAUUCAACCAUACUAAAAUCUCUGCAAGCAUGUGCUUUCAUUUCAGUCAUAACAGUGCAGUGUGAAAAAUGUGGAGCCAAACUACCCUGUUUCCCCUAAAAUAAGACAUCCCCAGAAAAUAAGACCUAGUAGAGGUUUUGCUGAAUUGCUAAAUAUAAGGCCUCCCCGAAAGUAAGACCUAGCAAAGUUUUUGUUUGGAAGCAUGCCCAAUGAACAGAACACCAGAGCAUGCAGGAUCGGUAAAUGUACGUAUCAUAAAGUGUUGAACAUGGAAAUAUUGAUAGUAAUAACAAAUUCUUGAUAGGAUUCAGUUUGUCUGGUCAUGAUGGUUUAUGAUGACAACUACUGUACAGUAUAUAAUAAAUGUUCAUUUUUUUUGUUCAACAAUAAAUGUGAAUUCUUCUUCAUGGAAAAAUAAGACAUCCCCUGAAAAUAAGACCUAGAGCAUCUUUGGGAGCAAAAAUUAAUAUAAGACACUGUCUUAUUUUCGGGGAAACACGAUAAGUAAAUGUUAGGUUUUACAAUGUAUUGAGUCAUGCACUGCUAAUGGGCUUCUAUUGGGAAUCAUUUGGGGAAUGUGUUUGGGCCUACUCCAGGUGAUUGUCAAUGAUGCAAUCCUGAGUUUGGGUUGGGUCAAUUAGGUAACCAAUCAAGGAUUACUAUGUGUAAAUGUAUUGUAUAUAAGGAACCAUGUUCAGUGUAUUUUCCCUCUCCCUUUCCUUUUGAUGUUAUGAAGUCUAUAUGCAAUUAAACCUGUCUACUAGGACAAGAUACUA